UUACGGCCACAUCACGUCGAAACACCGGUUCCCCUACGAUCACCGAAGUUAAGCAAUUUCGAGUUUGGUCAGUAUCUAGAUGGGUGACCGCUUGGGGAUAUCAGAUUCUGUA